AGGUUUCGCGCAUCGGGCGAACCCUGACCCCGCCACGCCGCGUGAGGGAUGAAGGCCUUCGGGUCGUAAACCCCUUGUCGGCGGGACGAUUAGGGACGGGAGUCAACAACCAAGGUGCGAGCUGGGUCCUUGCCAGCUGCCCCGGUAAUAAUUUCCAACAGCCGCCAUAAUAAAAAAA
rnacentral:rRNA from 1 species